rnacentral:rRNA from 1 species
AACGAACGCUGGCGGCAGGCCUAACACAUGCAAGUCGAACGCUCCGCAAGGGGAGUGGCGCACGGGUGAGUAACACGUGGGAACCUACCUUCUGGUACGGAACAACCAAGGGAAACUUUGGCUAAGACCGUAUACGACCUCCGGGUGAAAGAUUGAUCGCCGGAAGAGGGGCCCGCGUCCGAUUAGGUAGUUGGUGAGGUAACGGCUCACCAAGCCUUCGAUCGGUAGCUGGUCUGAGAGGAUGACCAGCCACACUGGGACUGAGACACGGCCCAGACUCCUACGGGAGGCAGCAGUGGGGAAUAUUGGACAAUGGGCGCAAGCCUGAUCCAGCCAUGCCGCGUGAGUGAUGAAGACCUU